UACGUAGGGGCUAGCGUUAUCCGGAAUUACUGGGCGUAAAGGGUGCGUAGGUGGUUUCUUAAGUCAGAGGUGAAAGGCUACGGCUCAACCGUAGUAAGCCUUUGAAACUGGGAAACUUGAGUGCAGGAGAGGAGAGUGGAAUUCCUAGUGUAGCGGUGAAAUGCGUAGAUAUUAGGAGGAACACCAGUUGCGAAGGCGGCUCUCUGGACUGUAACUGACACUGAGGCACGAAAGCGUUGGGAGCAAACAGGAUUAGAUACCCUGGUAGUCCCUGAG
rnacentral:rRNA from 1 species